CCUACGGGAGGCAGCGGUAGGGAAUCUUUCACAAUGGGCGAAAGCCUGAUGGAGCAACGCCGCGUGCAGGAUGAAGGCCUUCGGGUUGUAAACUGCUUUUAUAAGCGAGAAAUAUGAUGGUAACUUAUGAAUAAGGAUCGGCUAACUACGUGCCAGCAGCCGCGGUCAUACGUAGGAUCCGAGCAUUAUCCGGAGUGACUGGGUGUAAAGAGUUGCGUAGGUGGCAUAAUAAGUAGCUAGUGAAAUCUGGUGGCUCAACCAUUCAGACUAUUAGCUAAACUGUUAAGCUCGAGACCGUUAGGGGUAACUGGAAUUUCUAGUGUAGGAGUGAAAUCCGUAGAUAUUAGAAGGAACACCAAUAGCGUAGGCAGGUUGCUGGGACGGUUCUGACACUAAGGCACGAAAGCGUAGGGAGCAAACGGGAUUAGAUACCCCAGUAGUC
rnacentral:rRNA from 1 species